rnacentral:rRNA from 1 species
UUGUGAGGUUAAGCGACUAAGCGUACACGGUGGAUGCCCUGGCAGUCAGAGGCGAUGAAGGACGUGCUAAUCUGCGAUAAGCGUCGGUGAGGUGAUAUGAACCGUUAUAACCGGCGAUUUCCGAAUGGGGAAACCCAGUGUGUUUCGACACACUAUCAUUAACUGAAUCCAUAGGUUAAUGAGGCGAACCGGGGGAACUGAAACAUCUAAGUACCCCGAGGAAAAGAAAUCAACCGAGAUUCCCCCAGUAGCGGCGAGCGAACGGGGAGGAGCCCAGAGCCUGAAUCAGUGUGUGUGUUAGUGGAAGCGUCUGGAAAGGCGCGCGAUACAGGGUGACAGCCCCGUACACAAAAAUGCACAUAUUGUGAGCUCGAUGAGUAGGGCGGGACACGUGGUAUCCUGUCUGAAUAUGGGGGGACCAUCCUCCAAGGCUAAAUACUCCUGACUGACCGAUAGUGAACCAGUACCGUGAGGGAAAGGCGAAAAGAACCCCGGCGAGGGGAGUGAAAAAGAACCUGAAACCGUGUACGUACAAGCAGUGGGAGCCUCUUAAUGGGGUGACUGCGUACCUUUUGUAUAAUGGGUCAGCGACUUAUAUUCUGUAGCAAGGUUAACCGAAUAGGGGAGCCGAAGGGAAACCGAGUCUUAACUGGGCGUUAAGUUGCAGGGUAUAGACCCGAAACCCGGUGAUCUAGCCAUGGGCAGGUUGAAGGUUGGGUAACACUAACUGGAGGACCGAACCGACUAAUGUUGAAAAAUUAGCGGAUGACUUGUGGCUGGGGGUGAAAGGCCAAUCAAACCGGGAGAUAGCUGGUUCUCCCCGAAAGCUAUUUAGGUAGCGCCUCGUGAAUUCAUCUCCGGGGGUAGAGCACUGUUUCGGCAAGGGGGUCAUCCCGACUUACCAACCCGAUGCAAACUGCGAAUACCGGAGAAUGUUAUCACGGGAGACACACGGCGGGUGCUAACGUCCGUCGUGAAGAGGGAAACAACCCAGACCGCCAGCUAAGGUCCCAAAGUCAUGGUUAAGUGGGAAACGAUGUGGGAAGGCCCAGACAGCCAGGAUGUUGGCUUAGAAGCAGCCAUCAUUUAAAGAAAGCGUAAUAGCUCACUGGUCGAGUCGGCCUGCGCGGAAGAUGUAACGGGGCUAAACCAUGCACCGAAGCUGCGGCAGCGACACUAUGUGUUGUUGGGUAGGGGAGCGUUCUGUAAGCCUGUGAAGGUGGCCUGUGAGGGUUGCUGGAGGUAUCAGAAGUGCGAAUGCUGACAUAAGUAACGAUAAAGCGGGUGAAAAGCCCGCUCGCCGGAAGACCAAGGGUUCCU